rnacentral:rRNA from 1 species
UACGUAGGGGGCUAGCGUUGUCCGGAAUCAUUGGGCGUAAAGCGCGUGUAGGCGGUCCGGUAAGUCCGCUGUGAAAGUCGGGGGCUCAACCCUCGGAUGCCGGUGGAUACUGUCGGGCUUGAGUACGGAAGAGGCGAGUGGAAUUCCUGGUGUAGCGGUGAAAUGCGCAGAUAUCAGGAGGAACACCAAUCGCGAAGGCAGCUCGCUGGGACGUUACUGACGCUGAGACGCGAAAGCGUGGGGAGCGAACAGG